rnacentral:rRNA from 1 species
UACGUAGGGGGCAAGCGUUGUCCGGAAUUACUGGGCGUAAAGCGCGUGUAGGCGGCUCUUCAAGUCAGACGUGAAAGCCCCGGGCUUAACUCGGGAACUGCGUUUGAUACUGUCGAGCUAGAGUGUGGAAGGGGCGAUUGGAAUUCCGUGUGUAGCGGUGAAAUGUGUAGAUAUACGGAGGAACACCAGGGGCGAAGGCGGAUCGCUGGGCCAACACUGACGCUGAGACGCGAAAGCUAGGGGAGCAAACGGG